AAAAAUUGUAGUGUGAUCAUAGAUAGUGGGAGCUGUUGCAAUAUGGCAAGUGAACUUAUGGUGGAGAAAUUGGGGCUGCCCACACUUAAGCACCCCCAAGCCAUAUGGGUUGCAAUGGCUAAACAAUUGUGCAAAGGUGAAAGUCACUAAGCAAGUGGUGGUACCAUUCUCCAUAGGGAAGUACAAAGAUGAGGUAUAUUGUGAUAUUAUCCCUAUGCAAGCCACUCACUUGUUGCUUGGGAGGCCAUGGCUGUUUGAUGUGGAUGCUACAUAUGAAGGCCGAAGCAACACCAUCUCAUUUAUCAAGGAUGGCAGAAAGGUCAAGCUACUCCCAUUGACCCCAUCUCAAGUCCAUCAAGACCAAAUCAACAUCCAAAAGUCCAUUAGUGGAGCAAAGGAGAGUGCGAGUGAAAAUAAAGGAGGGGCCGAACCUAGUGGAGAGAAAAGGAGAGGAGAGAAUGAAGGGAAAAAUGAG
rnacentral:misc_RNA from 1 species